GUUCCUCCCUCCCUAAGAUGGCAGCAGCUGAAGACAAGUUACUGCUACCUCGGCUCCCCGAGCUGUUCGAAACCAGCAAGCAGCUUUUGGACGAAGUGGAAAUUGCAACUGAACCCACCAGCUCCCAAAUAAUCCAAGAUAAGGUGUUCAAGGGCCUGGGUCUCCUGAAGAAGGCUGCUGAAAUGUUGUUGCAGCUCGACUUGUUCAGCCAAAAUGAAGAUUUGGAGGAGAUCGCGUCCACUGACCUGAAGUACCUGAUGGUGCCAGCAUUUCAAGGAGCGUUCACCAUGAAACAAGUCAAUCCCAACAAGCGCCUAGAUAAUUUGCUGUGGGCUCGAGAACACUUUUUAAACUACUUAACUCAGUGCCAGUACUAUCAUGUGGCAGAGUUUGAGCUGCCCAAAACCAAGACCAACUCAGCUGAAAAUAACACUGCUAAUUCCUCCAUGGCCUAUCCCAGCAUCAUUACUAUGGCAUCUCAGAGACAGGCUAAAAUAGAGAGAUACAAGCAGAAGAAGGAGGUGGAGCAUAGGUUGUCUGCAUUGAAAUCUGCUGUGGAAAGUGGUCAAGCAGAUGAUGAGCAUGUUCGUGAAUAUUACCUCCUUCACCUCCGAAGGUGGAUUGGUAUCAGCUUAGAAGAGAUUGAGAGCAUUGACCAGGAGAUAAAGAUCUUGAGAGAAAAAGACUCCACAAAAGAGGCAUCAACUUCUCAGUCAUCUCGUCACGACAGGCCUCCAAUGAAACCAUUUGUUCUCACUCGGAACAUGGCCCAAGCCCAAGUAUUUGGAGCUGGCUAUCCAAGUCUGGCAUCUAUGACAGUGAAUGACUGGUAUGAACAGCAUCAGAAAUUUGGAGCAUUACCAGAUCAGGGAAUAGCCAAGACAACGUCAGAGUUCAAAAGAGCAGCUCAGCAACAAGAAGAUCAUGAGGAGGAAGAGGAUGAUGAGCAGGCAGUCCGCAGAGCUCAGGAGUGGGAUGACUGGAAGGACACCCAUCCUAGAGGCUAUGGCAACCAGCAGAACAUGGGUUAGCCUCCCAACAGCAAGACAGGACAACAGAGACUUACAUCUUCCCCGCCAA